AAGACUACAAAGUCUGUCUCAGUUCAAUCUGUGAAUUCCACAUUGACUGAUCGUGAAGUUGGAAGAUCUAGGUCGGGAUUGAAUUCCCAAAAUGUCUCAGGCACCAGUGCAGAAUCCAUUGGGAGGCCCUCAUUUCCUAGUAUGUCUCAAAGACAAAGCAAUCUCAGAGUGUUCACAGUUUCUGAACUUAGGUUAGCUACCAAGAAUUUCAACCGAUCUGUCGUGCUCGGGGAGGGUGGAUUUGGUUGUGUCUAUAGAGG
rnacentral:misc_RNA from 1 species